rnacentral:rRNA from 1 species
ACUCCUACGGGAGGCAGCAGUGGGGAAUAUUGCACAAUGGGGAAAGCCCAUCGAUGCAGCCAUGCCGCGUGUGUGAAGAAGGCCUUCGGGUUGUAAAGACACUUUCAGUAGGGAGGAAGGUAGUGUAGUUAACACCUGCAUUAUUUGACGUUACCUACAGAAGAAGCACCGGCUAACUCCGUGCCAGCAUCCGCGGUAAUACGGAGGGUGCGAGCGUUAUCCGGAUUUAUUGGGUUUAAAGGGUCCGUAGGCGGAUUAAUAAGUCAGUGGUGAAAUCCCAUCGCUUAACGAUGGAACUGCCAUUGAUACUGUUAGUCUUGAAUGAGGGUGCAGUGGUUGGAAUGUGUAGUGUAGCGGUGAAAUGCAUAGAUAUUACACAGAACACCGAUUGCGAAGGCAGAUCACUAACCCUAAAUUGACGCUGAGGGACGAAAGCGUGGGGAGCGAACAGGAUUAGAUACCCUGGUAGGAUAGCGU